UACGUAGGGGGCGAGCGUUGUCCGGAUUUAUUGGGCGUAAAACGCUUGUAGGUGGUUACGUCAAGUCGGACGUGAAAUCUCCCGGCUUAACUGGGAGGGGUCGCUCGAUACUGGCGAGCUCGAGGCAGGUAGGGGGAAGCGGAAUUCCCGAUGUAGUGGUGGAAUGCGUAGAUAUCGGGAGGAACACCAGUGGCGGAAGGCGGCUUCCUGGACCUGUUCGUGACACUGAGGAGCGAAAGCGAUGGGGAGGCGAGUCCGG
rnacentral:rRNA from 1 species